rnacentral:rRNA from 1 species
ACUCCUACGGGAGGCAGCAGUGGGGAAUAUUGCACAAUGGGCGCAAGCCUGAUGCAGCAACGCCGCGUGAGGGACGACGGCCUUCGGGUUGUAAACCUCUUUUAGUAGGGAAGAAGCGAAAGUGACGGUACCUGCAGAAAAAGCACCGGCUAACUACAUGCCAGCAGCCGCGGUAAUACGUAGGGUGCAAGCGUUAUCCGGAAUUAUUGGGCGUAAAGAGCUCGUAGGCGGUUUGUCGCGUCUGCUGUGAAAACUGGAGGCUCAACCUCCAGCCUGCAGUGGGUACGGGCAGACUAGAGUGCGGUAGGGGAGAUUGGAAUUCCUGGUGUAGCGGUGGAAUGCGCAGAUAUCAGGAGGAACACCGAUGGCGAAGGCAGAUCUCUGGGCCGUAACUGACGCUGAGGAGCGAAAGCAUGGGGAGCGAACAGGAUUAGAUACCCUGGUAGUCCAUGCCGUAAACGUUGGGAACUAGAUGUAGGGACCAUUCCACGGUUUCUGUGUCGCAGCUAACGCAUUAAGUUCCCCGCCUGGGGAGUACGGCCGCAAGGCUAAAACUCAAAGGAAUUGACGGGGGCCCGCACAAGCGGCGGAGCAUGCGGAUUAAUUCGAUGCAACGCGAAGAACCUUACCAAGGCUUGACAUAUACCGGAAAAGUUCAGAAAUGUUCUCCCCGCAAGGUCGGUAUACAGGUGGUGCAUGGUUGUCGUCAGCUCGUGUCGUGAGAUGUUGGGUUAAGUCCCGCAACGAGCGCAACCCUCGUUCUAUGUUGCCAGCACGUAAUGGUGGGAACUCAUAGGAGACUGCCGGGGUCAACUCGGA